rnacentral:lncRNA from 1 species
UUUUUUGAAUGACGUCAUUGUUUGGUAUGUAACGUCACGAACGUCAAGUUUUCAUAUUGUAUGUGACGUCACGAACAUCAAAUUUGCAUAUUUUUUGGCACACUAAAUGCAACUAUAAAAAAUACAAAACACUCAAAUAAAUAAAUAAAUACAAUAAUAAACAAUUUUUUUUUAAAACAGCAGCAGGCAAAUGGUAAGGUAACC